GGUGCCGAUUCCGUGGAUGCUCGGGCCCGGUAGCACCCACGGAAAAUGAUGAGCAUCCAGUGUCGGCGCUCAGGGCAGCAGGCCCAGGGCACCGUACAGCACGGACAGCACAGCGGCAGCAGCACACUACAGCCCUGGGAGCUGCCUGUAUUCCCGGAUGUGGCUCCCAAUCCCCACUGCCCUGGAGCAAAGGUGCCGGAGAAUAGGCACGGACCAGUUAACAUCCUAGGUGCGGAUUGGCCAAAGCUCCUCACUGGGAAGAUUUUGGCAUUUGGCCCCGUCCCCCUGUUUGAUCACUCUCGUUAGAUGGACAUUUACUACCUGCCGUCGGCUCUGCACCUCCUGCUAUGGGAUGGGAAACUGGAAGAAAAUCCUGUAAAUCUUCUGGGGGAUGAUGUGAAACAUAAAAGAAAACACAGAACAUGGAGAUCCUCGUAUAAUACUGUUAGAGUGGGAGAUUGUGGAUUGCAUUUGGAAACCCCCCUCUAGAAAUCCUGUGUUUGCCACUGACUUACCGGCUGGUGUGCAGUACAGAACCCCACCUCACUCACACUCCACCAGCACAAGCGUGUAGCAGUGAGUAUGCCUGUACCUAUUAUACGUCAAUAAACCAUUACCACUGGUUAGGUGUCUGGGCGGCUUAUAGUUUGCUGCAUCCCCUGGUGUGUGCCUACAGUAUAUAACUCCACAAGCAGCAACA